GGGUGGCGCGCAACGGGGCUUUCUGCGGGAGCCCAGGUGCAGAAGCACCCCCCCCCCCGCCCCGGACAGUCUGUUGGGGUUCGAGACCCUCCUUCCGGGGGACCUGAUCCAAGUGAAAGCCGCUCGGUCAUUCGAAAGCUCCAGAGCGCUCCAUCCGCAAACUGGGCAGGUGCAAGGGUGCCUCGGGACGACCUGGUACGUGGACCGCCAGCCUGGGCCGCCCCAGGCGCCCCCACCCCAGCCCGGGAAAUCGCAUCCCCGCCCUCGCCCCCUCCGGGAGAGCACAGUUCGGGGUCUCACAUCAGUCCUUACUCUCCGGACCCCAUCUCCCCACCAGGGCAGAGCAUCACCGGCUACGUGUCCCCCCAUCCCCACCCCGCAUCCUGGUCGCCACGAAAGGUCUCCCUGUUCCCCUCUCCUAGAUUUCAAGGGAAGUGCAGAGAAGGAAGCCUAAAUAAAAACAGGAAACCCGAUUUUAAAAAAGAAGAAGCCUCAUUCUGGCUGAAUUACGGGAAAAACAACAGGUCCUCCUGCCGCCUGUCUGCACCCCCCGCCCUCCCCCCCUCCCCCAAAUCCGCACCCCGUCUGCGGCUGGAGGGGCAUCAUCCCAGGUGUGUCUGUAAAGCUGCAUCUCGCCCGUCUUCAAAACAAGCGUUCUUUUUAUACAAAGGAAAACAACUAAAUAAAGGUCCUAAAGCCCACGCCUUCACAUUCACACACCAAAGAAUUUCCACGGUGGCCAGAGGAAGGCUGGAGGGCGGGAGACGGAGGCGGAGGCUGCAGCUCUUGGCGCCCAGGGAGUCCCCCCAUCCCAUCCCAUCCCACCCCGCCCCGCCGCCGGCCGAGAGCGCAGUAGCUGGGCGCCAGGGAGGGUACAUGAGGCCUGGGAGACGAGACUGGAGCGCAGAGUUCCACGGGCUCGGCCCUGGGGGGAAAGCUGUAGUCUUCUCGCUUGGGGGAGUCAAGACCACGGAGGGGUGGGGGGGAGUCGCCAGAUUACAAAAAUGGCUUAGAAAUCCUUCUAGGGCGCGUGGGGGAAGAGUCAAGUCAAUUGCUUACACAAACAAUGACUUAAAGGACCCUCCCCCCUCCGGUCUGGGAACUAAAGCCCCUGUUUGGUCCCCUUGGAGAGAUGCGGCAACUGAGGCCUGGAGAGGGGCUGUUUCUACCCAAGCGAUCCGCCGGCCUCCCAGCGCCAGCGCGGGGCCCAGCUCUGGCUGCAGCAAAGGAGGGAGCAGAGCCCUCGGUUUCCAGCCAAGAAAGGGCAAGCGUAGGUUACUGAAGGCUUCCCGUUUUCUGAGGUUUCCAAACACCUGUCCGAGCCCUGCUUUUACCAGUCGGCAAUUUAAACAGUUUUGCUCCCUGCUUUCCAGAGGUGGAUGUAAGAAGCCGACGCGUGGGGCCUGCUGUGGAUUUGGGGUCUCCUUCUCUCUCUGCCCCCUCCCCUGCUCGUGCUCUCUCUCUCUCUCUCAAAAAUGA
rnacentral:lncRNA from 1 species